rnacentral:rRNA from 1 species
UUUAUGGAGAGUUUGAUCCUGGCUCAGAGUGAACGCUGGCGGCGUGCCUAAUACAUGCAAGUCGAACGAUGAAGCUUCUAGCUUGCUAGAAGUGGAUUAGUGGCGCACGGGUGAGUAAGGUAUAGUUAAUCUGCCCUACACAAGAGGACAACAGUUGGAAACGACUGCUAAUACUCUA